UUGUCCUAGUUACCAGCACGUUAUGGUGGGCACUCUAAGGAGACUGCCGGUGACAAACCGGAGGAAGGUGGGGAUGACGUCAAGUCAUCAUGGCCCUUACGGCCUGGGCUACACACGUGCUACAAUGGUCGGUACAAAGGGUUGCCAAGCCGCGAGGUGGAGCUAAUCCCAUAAAAACCGAUCGUAGUCCGGAUCGCAGUCUGCAACUCGACUGCGUGAAGUCGGAAUCGCUAGUAAUCGUGAAAUCAGAAUGUCACGGUGAAUACGUUCCCGGGCCUU
rnacentral:rRNA from 1 species